rnacentral:rRNA from 1 species
AUUGAACGCUGGCGGCAUGCCUUACACAUGCAAGUCGAACGGUAACGGGCCUUCGGGUGCCGACGAGUGGCGAACGGGUGAGUAAUACAUCGGAACGUGCCCGAUCGUGGGGGAUAACGAGGCGAAAGCUUUGCUAAUACCGCAUACGAUCUACGGAUGAAAGCAGGGGACCGCAAGGCCUUGCGCGGACGGAGCGGCCGAUGGCAGAUUAGGUAGUUGGUGGGAUAAAAGCUCACCAAGCCGACGAUCUGUAGCUGGUCUGAGAGGAUGAUCAGCCACACUGGGACUGAGACACGGCCCAGACUCCUACGGGAGGCAGCAGUGGGGAAUUUUGGACAAUGGGCGCAAGCCUGAUCCAGCCAUGCCGAGUGCAGAAUGAAGGCCUUCGGGUUGUAAACUGCUUUUGUACGGAACGAAAAGCCUUCUUUUAAUACAGGAGGGUCAUGACGGUACCGUAAGAAUAAGCACCGGCUAACUACGUG